rnacentral:rRNA from 1 species
GACGAACGCUGGCGGCGUGCUUAACACAUGCAAGUCGAACGGAAAGGCCCUGCUUUUGUGGGGUGCUCGAGUGGCGAACGGGUGAGUAACACGUGAGUAACCUGCCCUUGACUUUGGGAUAACUUCAGGAAACUGGGGCUAAUACCGGAUAGGAGCUCCUGCUGCAUGGUGGGGGUUGGAAAGUUUCGGCGGUUGGGGAUGGACUCGCGACUUAUCAGCUUGUUGGUGGGGUAGUGGCUUACCAAGGCUUUGACGGGUAGCCGGCCUGAGAGGGUGACCGGCAACAUUGGGACUGAGAUACGGCCCAGACUCAUACGGGAGGCAGCAGUGGGGAAUAUUGCACAAUGGGCGGACGCCUGAUGCAGCAACGCCGCGUGCGGGGUGACGGCCUUCGGGUUGUAAACCGCUUUCGCCUGUGACGAAGCGUGAGUGACGGUAAUGGGUAAAGAAGCACCGGCUAACUACGUG